GCAUCCGUAGCUCAGCUGGAUAGAGUACUCGGCUACGAACCGAGCGGUCGGAGGUUCGAAUC
rnacentral:tRNA from 1 species